GUUUGCACUCAUCGGGGAAGGGUGAGAACCUUCGACUAAGGUUCGAUUCGAGCGAAAGCGAGAGAACGUUGCCACAGGCAACGGCCCGAAGGGUGAGGAGCGAAGCGACGAAUAAUCCUUCCCCCACCACAA
rnacentral:sRNA from 1 species